GCAAAUACCAAAAGCUGUCCUCAUUGAGUCAUCCCUCCCAGAGCAGGAAGAGCAGAGGUUCUGGGAAACAACCCCAAGGAGAGAGACAGGGCAUUUAUAAAACAGCAUGUAAGCAUCUCUGCAGUUGCUGUCCCCAGAGCCCACUUCCUGGAUAUUGCCAGCUGCCUGGACCAACCUUUCCGAAAGAUCAGCCAGGUCACAGUGAGGGUCAAAGGUGAGGCAACACCCGGCCUGCUUCAGCUUGCCCCCCGUGGGCUGCACCCACUGUCCAACCAGUCCCAAUGAGAUGAACCAGCAGGAGGCCACUGGAGGCUCCAAGGGCUCUGAAAUGUUGAGAACUUCCCUGCAGGUACCAGCGAAGAGGGCAAGAACACAGCACUACUUCCUUGGAUACUGUUUCCCUCCUCAGAGGGGUUUUCUGAGCUGCCCUGGGUCCUGUGAGGAAGGCAGAAGUCCUAGCAGAGUAUGCCCACGCUGGUUAGUGCUGCUGCAAAGAUGAGCCGAAGACCAUGAGAGACCUCCAGGUGGUCCUUCUGGGGAGAAGAAAUGGGUUUUGGCCCCAAAUCCUUCUGCUGCAUUUUUCCCCUAUCCCUGGGAAGCCAUGAGACCUCAAACCUGUGUUCCCAAGGAGGCGAGCUGCUGUUCCCAGGUGAUGAUAUGAUGUGCUUGGGGAAAGUAAGUGGCUGCCAGACAUGGCUGAGAGCUGUUGUCACUGCCGUCAAGUGCAUGUCUCCAAGCCAUAUCACACGGCGUCCCUCGAUGUGAGGCCACAUGGCAAGUGGGCCGUGGAUCUCCCUCUGCCCUUUGCAAGCACGUAAGACAGCAGAUUUUGCAGAUACCUUGUGGCGCAGGGGAAUUUCCUUUGGCCAGGUCUGAAGAAAUAAAGCAGCAGGCACCGAGAACAAAGCCAAGGCUUUCAAAAGACAAGGAGCCAAAAAACUUACUCAAAAUAAAAGUAGUUUUAAAAUG
rnacentral:lncRNA from 1 species